CGAAAGCCUGACGGAGCAACGCCGCGUGUGGGAAGAAGGCUCUUGGGCUGUCAACCACUUUUCUCAGGGAAGAAGAUCUGACGGUACCUGAGGAAUCAGCCUCGGCUAACUCCGUGCCAGCAGCCGCGGUAAUACGGAGGAGGCAAGCGUUAUCCGGAAUUAUUGGGCGUAAAGCGUCCGCAGGUGGUGCAUCAAGUCUGCGGUUAAAGACCGGAGCUUAACUCCGGGUCAGCCGUGGAAACUGAGGCACUAGAGGAUGGUAGGGGUAGAGGGAAUUCCCAGUGUAGCGGUGAAAUGCGUAGAGAUUGGGAAGAACACCGGUGGCGAAAGCGCUCUACUAGACCAUCACUGACACUCAGAGGACGAAAGCUAGGGGAGCG
rnacentral:rRNA from 1 species